UACGGAAGGCAGCAGUGGGGAAUAUUGCACAAUGGGCGCAAGCCUGAUGCAGCCAUGCCGCGUGUAUGAAGAAGGCCUUCGGGUUGUAAAGUACUUUCAGUCGUGAGGAAGGUGUUAAGGUUAAUAACCUUAGCAAUUGACGUUAGCGACAGAAGAAGCACCGGCUAACUCCGUGCCAGCAGCCGCGGUAAUACGGAGGGUGCGAGCGUUAAUCGGAAUUACUGGGCGUAAAGGGCACGCAGGCGGUUAAUUAAGUUGGAUGUGAAAUCCCCGGGCUUAACCUGGGAAUGGCAUUCAAGACUGGUUAGCUAGAGUCUUGUAGAGGGGGUAGAAUUCCGAUGUGUAGCGGUGAAAUGCGUAGAGAUGUGGAGGAAUACCGGUGGCGAAGGCGGCCCCUGGACAAAGACUGACGCUCAUGGUGCGAAAGCGUGGGGAGCAAA
rnacentral:rRNA from 1 species